GACGAACGCUGGCGGCGUGCUUAACGCAUGCAAGUCGAACGGAAAGGCCCUGCUUUUGUGGGGUGCUCGAGUGGCGAACGGGUGAGUAACACGUGAGUAACCUGCCCUUGACUUUGGGAUAACUUCAGGAAACUGGGGCUAAUACCGGAUAGGAGCUCCUGCUGCAUGGUGGGGGUUGGAAAGUUUCGGCGGUUGGGGAUGGACUCGCGGCUUAUCAGCUUGUUGGUGGGGUAGUGGCUUACCAAGGCUUUGACGGGUAGCCGGCCUGAGAGGGUGACCGGCCACAGUGGGACUGAGAUACGGCCCGGACUCCUACGGGAGGCAGCAGUGGGGAAUAUUGCACAAUGGGCGGAAGCCUGAUGCAGCAACGCCGCGUGCGGGAUGACGGCCUUCGGGUUGUAAACCGCUUUCGCCUGUGACGAAGCGUGAGUGACGGUAAUGGGUAAAGAAGCACCGGCUAACUACGUG
rnacentral:rRNA from 1 species